AGCAUGUGGUUUAAUUCGACGCAACGCGAAGAACCUUACCUGGAUUGACAUCCCGGGAAUUCUCUGAAAGAGAGAAGUGCCCUCGGGAGCCCGGAGACAGGUGCUGCAUGGCUGUCGUCAGCUCGUGUCGUGAGAUGUUGGGUUAAGUCCCGCAACGAGCGCAACCCUUAUCUUUAGUUACCAUCAUUCAGUUGGGGACUCUAAAGAUACUGCCCCGGUAAACGGGAGGAAGGUGGGGAUGACGUCAAGUCCUCAUGGCCUUUAUAUCCAGGGCUACACACGUGCUACAAUGGGCUGUACAAAAGGUUGCGAACCCGCGAGGGUAAGCCAAUCCUAUAAAGCAGUUCUAAGUUCGGAUUGGAGUCUGCAACUCGACUCCAUGAAGCUGGAAUCGCUAGUAAUCGCGGAUCAGCACGCCCGCGGUCGAAUACGUUCCCGGGCCUU
rnacentral:rRNA from 1 species